AGGGUGAACGCUGGCGGCGUGCUUAACACAUGCAAGUCGAACGGUGAAAGAGAAGCUUGCUCCUCUGGAUCAGUGGCGAACGGGUGAGUAACACGUGAGUAACCUGCCCUUGACUCUGGGAUAAGCGUUGGAAACGACGUCUAAUACCGGAUACGACCUCCGAAGGCAUCUUCUGGAGGUGGAAAGAAUUUCGGUCAAGGAUGGACUCGCGGCCUAUCAGCUAGUUGGUGAGGUAAUGGCCCACCAAGGCGACGACGGGUAGCCGGCCUGAGAGGGUGACCGGCCACACUGGGACUGAGACACGGCCCAGACUCCUACGGGAGGCAGCAGUGGGGAAUAUUGCACAAUGGGCGCAAGCCUGAUGCAGCAACGCCGCGUGAGGGACGACGGCCUUCGGGUUGUAAACCUCUUUUAGUAGGGAAGAAGCGAAAGUGACGGUACCUGCAGAAAAGCACCGGCUAACUACGUGCCAGCAGCCGC
rnacentral:rRNA from 1 species